GUAGGUGGCAAGCGUUGUCCGGAAUUGUUGGGCGUAAAGCGCGCGCAGGCGGUUCUUUAAGUCUGAUGUGAAAGCCCACGGCUCAACCGUGGAGGGUCAUUGGAAACUGGAGAACUUGAGUACAGAAGAGGAAAGCGGAAUUCCACGUGUAGCGGUGAAAUGCGUAGAGAUGUGGAGGAACACCAGUGGCGAAGGCGGCUUUCUGGUCUGUAACUGACGCUGAGGCGCGAAAGCGUGGGGAGCAAACAGGGAUUAGAUACCCUGGUAGUCCACGCCGUAAACGAUGAGUGCUAAGUGUUAGGGGGUUUCCGCCCCCUUAGUGCUGCAGCUAACGCAUUAAGCACUCCGCCUGGGGAUACGGCCGCAAGGCUG
rnacentral:rRNA from 1 species